UUGUUCCUCUCCUUCUUCAAUGGCUCUUGGAACUUGAAGUGAUCGCGCAGUCUUGCCAUGCAUCUGGGCCACAGACCACACGCUCUCUGAGAGAAAGGGGGCCUAGCGAGGGCUGUGUGAGAGAACUAAGAUUUACAAAGCACCUUCCAUGGGCCUGGCACUGUGCUGAGAGGGAAGGGACAGAACAGUGACUGAGAUCCAGCCUUCAAGGAACUGAAAGUUCAGACAAGGGACCCGAAAAUUACACUCUUUCUGUGGGCCUGUGGAUUUCAGUCUUCACUCCUUUGGGAUAAGAGGGCUACCGCUACUAAUGAAAAUAAAUGCUAUCUGGAACUUGGAGAUCCGGAGAAGAGAGAACACAGUCUGUGGAGAUACAAAUCUGUUUUUUCCCUGGUUUUUGUUUUUCUUUCAUAAUAGAGAGAGAGGGAGCACAAGCAAGAGAACAGCAGGCAGAGGGUGAACAGACUCCCUGCUGAGCAAGGAGCCUGAUGCAGGACUCCAUCCCAGGACCCUGGGAUCAUGACCUGAACCAAAGGCAGACACGUAAUGGACUGAGCCAUCCAGGCAUCCCUUUGAUGCAUUUUUAGAAUGUGGUUGAAUUAACGAAUAUUUUCCUUUAUGGUUUGUAUUUUGUGAUUUGUUUAAGAAAUCUUUCCCCAUCCCAAUGUCAUAAACACAUUUUCUUAUUUUUCUUCUAAACUUUAUAAAGUUUUAUUUAUUUA